GAUUAUCCGUUUCAUUACAACAUCAACUUUCCUCUAACUUUCCUGAACCUCUGCUCCCUGUGUUUAUUUAUAUAUCCCUCUCUGUCCCCGUCUCCUGUUUAUUUAUAUAUCCCUCUCUGUCCCCGUCUCCUGUUUAUUUAUAUAUCCCUCUCUGUCCCCGUCUCCUGUUUAUUUAUAUAUCCCUCUCUGUCCCCGUCUCCUGUUUAUUUAUAUAUCCCUCUCUGUCCCCGUCUCCUGUUUAUUUAUAUAUCCCUCUCUGUCCCCUGUGUUUAUUUAUAUAUCCCUCUCUGUCCCCGUCUCCUGUUUAUUUAUAUAUCCCUCUCUGCUCCCUGUGUUUAUUUAUAUAUCCCUCUCUGUCCCCGUCUCCUGUUUAUUUAUAUAUCCCUCUCUGUCCCCGUCUCCUGUUUAUUUAUAUAUCCCUCUCUGUCCCCGUCUCCUGUUUAUUUAUAUAUCCCUCUCUGUCCCCGUCUCCUGUUUAUUUAUAUAUCCCUCUCUGUCCCCGUCUCCUGUUUAUUUAUAUAUCCCUCUCUGUCCCCGUCUCCUGUUUAUUUAUAUAUCCCUCUCUGCUCCCUGUGUUUAUUUAUAUAUCCCUCUCUGUCCCCGUCUCCUGUUUAUUUAUAUAUCCCUCUCUGUCCCCGUCUCCUGUUUAUUUAUAUAUCCCUCUCUGUCCCCGUCUCCUGUUUAUUUAUAUAUCCCUCUCUGUCCCCGUCUCCUGUUUAUUUAUAUAUCCCUCUCUGUCCCCGUCUCCUGUUUAUUUAUAUAUCCCUCUCUGUCCCCGUCUCCUGUUUAUUUAUAUAUCCCUCUCUGUCCCCGUCUCCUGUUUAUUUAUAUAUCCCUCUCUGUCCCCGUCUCCUGUUUAUUUAUAUAUCCCUCUCUGUCCCCUGUGUUUAUUUAUAUAUCCCUCUCUGUCCCCGUCUCCUGUUUAUUUAUAUAUCCCUCUCUGUCCCCGUCUCCUGUUUAUUUAUAUAUCCCUCUCUGUCCCCGUCUCCUGUUUAUUUAUAUAUCCCUCUCUGUCCCCGUCUCCUGUUUAUUUAUAUAUCCCUCUCUGUCCCCGUCUCCUGUUUAUUUAUAUAUCCCUCUCUGUCCCCGUCUCCUGUUUAUUUAUAUAUCCCUCUCUGUCCCCGUCUCCUGUUUAUUUAUAUAUCCCUCUCUGUCCCCGUCUCCUGUUUAUUUAUAUAUCCCUCUCUGUCCCCGUCUCCUGUUUAUUUAUAUAUCCCUCUCUGUCCCCUGUGUUUAUUUAUAUAUCCCUCUCUGUCCCCGUCUCCUGUUUAUUUAUAUAUCCCUCUCUGUCCCCGUCUCCUGUUUAUUUAUAUAUCCCUCUCUGUCCCCUGUGUUUAUUUAUAUAUCCCUCUCUGUCCCCGUCUCCUGUUUAUUUAUAUAUCCCUCUCUGUCCCCGUCUCCUGUUUAUUUAUAUAUCCCUCUCUGUCCCCGUCUCCUGUUUAUUUAUAUAUCCCUCUCUGUCCCCGUCUCCUGUUUAUUUAUAUAUCCCUCUCUGUCCCCGUCUCCUGUUUAUUUAUAUAUCCCUCUCUGUCCCCUGUGUUUAUUUAUAUAUCCCUCUCUGUCCCCUGUGUUUAUUUAUAUAUCCCUCUCUGUCCCCGUCUCCUGUUUAUUUAUAUAUCCCUCUCUGUCCCCGUCUCCUGUUUAUUUAUAUAUCCCUCUCUGUCCCCGUCUCCUGUUUAUUUAUAUAUCCCUCUCUGUCCCCUGUGUUUAUUUAUAUAUCCCUCUCUGUCCCCGUCUCCUGUUUAUUUAUAUAUCCCUCUCUGUCCCCGUCUCCUGUUUAUUUAUAUAUCCGUCUCUGUCCCCUGUGUUUAUUUAUAUAUCCCUCUCUGUCCCUGUCUCCUGUUUAUUUAUAUAUCUCUCUCUGUCCCCGUCUCCUGUUUAUUUAUAUAUCCCUCUCUGUCCCCGUCUCCUGUUUAUUUAUAUAUCCCUCUCUGUCCCCGUCUCCUGUUUAUUUAUAUAUCCCUCUCUGUCCCCGUCUCCUGUUUAUUUAUAUAUCCCUCUCUGUCCCCGUCUCCUGUUUAUUUAUAUAUCCCUCUCUGUCCCCGUCUCCUGUUUAUUUAUAUAUCCCUCUCUGUCCCCGUCUCCUGUUUAUUUAUAUAUCCCUCUCUGUCCCCUGUGUUUAUUUAUAUAUCCCUCUCUGUCCCCGUCUCCUGUUUAUUUAUAUAUCCCUCUCUGUCCCCGUCUCCUGUUUAUUUAUAUAUCCCUCUCUGUCCCCGUCUCCUGUUUAUUUAUAUAUCCCUCUCUGUCCCCGUCUCCUGUUUAUUUAUAUAUCCCUCUCUGUCCCCUGUGUUUAUUUAUAUAUCCCUCUCUGUCCCCGUCUCCUGUUUAUUUAUAUAUCCCUCUCUGUCCCCUGUGUUUAUUUAUAUAUCCCUCUCUGUCCCCGUCUCCUGUUUAUUUAUAUAUCUCUCUCUGUCCCCGUCUCCUGUUUAUUUAUAUAUCCCUCUCUGUCCCCGUCUCCUGUUUAUUUAUAUAUCCCUCUCUGUCCCCGUCUCCUGUUUAUUUAUAUAUCCCUCUCUGUCCCCGUCUCCUGUUUAUUUAUAUAUCCCUCUCUGCUCCCUGUGUUUAUUUAUAUAUCCCUCUCUGUCCCCGUCUCCUGUUUAUUUAUAUAUCCCUCUCUGUCCCCGUCUCCUGUUUAUUUAUAUAUCCCUCUCUGUCCCCGUCUCCUGUUUAUUUAUAUAUCCCUCUCUGUCCCCAUCUCCUGUUUAUUUAUAUAUCCCUCUCUGUCCCCUGUGUUUAUUUAUAUAUCCCUCUCUGUCCCCGUCUCCUGUUUAUUUAUAUAUCCCUCUCUGUCCCCUGUGUUUAUUUAUAUAUCCCUCUCUGUCCCCGUCUCCUGUUUAUUUAUAUAUCCCUCUCUGUCCCCGUCUCCUGUUUAUUUAUAUAUCCCUCUCUGUCCCCUGUGUUUAUUUAUAUAUCCCUCUCUGUCCCUGUCUCCUGUUUAUUUAUAUAUCCCUCUCUGUCCCCUGUGUUUAUUUAUAUAUCCCUCUCUGUCCCCGUCUCCUAUUUAUUUAUAUAUCCCUCUCUGUCCCCGUCUCCUGUUUAUUUAUAUAUCCCUCUCUGUCCCCGUCUCCUGUUUAUUUAUAUAUCCCUCUCUGUCCCCGUCUCCUGUUUAUUUAUAUAUCCCUCUCUGUCCCCGUCUCCUGUUUAUUUAUAUAUCCCUCUCUGUCCCCGUCUCCUGUUUAUUUAUAUAUCCCUCUCUGUCCCCGUCUCCUGUUUAUUUAUAUAUCCCUCUCUGUCCCCGUCUCCUGUUUAUUUAUAUAUCCCUCUCUGUCCCCUGUGUUAUUUAUAUAUCCCUCUCUGUCCCCGUCUCCUGUUUAUUUAUAUAUCCCUCUCUGUCCCCGUCUCCUGUUUAUUUAUAUAUCCCUCUCUGUCCCCGUCUCCUGUUUAUUUAUAUAUCCCUCUCUGUCCCCGUCUCCUGUUUAUUUAUAUAUCCCUCUCUGUCCCCGUCUCCUGUUUAUUUAUAUAUCCCUCUCUGUCCCCGUCUCCUGUUUAUUUAUAUAUCCCUCUCUGUCCCCGUCUCCUGUUUAUUUAUAUAUCCCUCUCUGUCCCCAUCUCCUGUUUAUUUAUAUAUCCCUCUCUGUCCCCGUCUCCUGUUUAUUUAUAUAUCCCGCUCUGUCCCCGUCUCCUGUUUAUUUAUAUAUCCCUCUCUGUCCCCGUCUCCUGUUUAUUGCUCUGGUGUGCUGUAGGCUACUCGACAGAUCCAUCCUUUAUCGACAUUUUCCUCUGUACACAUUUACUGUAGCUUUGACAUUUGGAUGUCAUCCAUUAUUGUGA
ensembl:lncRNA